AAAAGUCGUAACAAGGUUUCCGUAGGUGAACCUGCGGAAGGAUCAUUACCUAGAGUUGUAGGCUUUGCCUGCUAUCUCUUACCCAUGUCUUUUGAGUACCUUACGUUUCCUCGGUGGGUUCGCCCACCGAUUGGACAAAUUUAAACCCUUUGCAGUUGAAAUCAGCGUCUGAAAAAACUUAAUAGUUACAACUUUCAACAACGGAUCUCUUGGUUCUGGCAUCGAUGAAGAACGCAGCGAAAUGCGAUAAGUAGUGUGAAUUGCAGAAUUCAGUGAAUCAUCGAAUCUUUGAACGCACAUUGCGCCCCUUGGUAUUCCAUGGGGCAUGCCUGUUCGAGCGUCAUUUGUACCUUCAAGCUCUGCUUGGUGUUGGGUGUUUGUCUCCUGUAGACUCGCCUUAAAACAAUUGGCAGCCGGCGUAUUGAUUUCGGAGCGCAGUACAUCUCGCGCUUUGCACUCAUAACGACGACAUCCAAAAGUACAUUUUUACACUCUUGACCUCGGAUCAGGUAGGGAUACCCGCUGAACUUAAGCAU
rnacentral:rRNA from 1 species